UACAGAGGUCCCAAGCGUUGUUCGGAUUCACUGGGCGUAAAGGGUGCGUAGGCGGUCGGGUAAGUCUGAUGUGAAAUCUCACAGCUUAACUGUGAAACUGCAUUGGAUACUAUCCGGCUCGAGGAAUGGAGGGGAGACUGGAAUACUUGGUGUAGCAGUGAAAUGCGUAGAUAUCAAGUGGAACACCAGUGGCGAAGGCGGCGUUCUGGACUGCAACUGACACUGAGGAACGAAAGCCAGGGGAGCAAACGGG
rnacentral:rRNA from 1 species